UCCUACGGGGGGCAGCAGUCGAGAAUUUUUCACAAUGGGCGAAAGCCUGAUGGAGCGACGCCGCGUGGGGGAAGAAUGGCUUCGGCCCGUAAACCCCUGUCAUUUGCGAACAAUGCUCACGGUUGAACAGAUCGUGAGUUGAUAGUAGCGAAAGAGGAAGGGACGGCUAACUCUGUGCCAGCAGCCGCGGUAAUACAGAGGUCCCAAGCGUUGUUCGGAUUCACUGGGCGUAAAGGGUGCGUAGGCGGUGGGGUAAGUCUGAUGUGAAAUCUCGGAGCUCAACUCCGAAAUGGCAUUGGAAACUACCUCGCUAGAGGGUUGGAGGGGGGACUGGAAUUCUCGGUGUAGCAGUGAAAUGCGUAGAUAUCGAGAGGAACACCAGUGGCGAAGGCGAGUCCCUGGACAACUCCUGACGCUCAGGCACGAAAGCUAGGGGAGCAAACAGGAUUAGAUACCCCGGUAGC
rnacentral:rRNA from 1 species